rnacentral:rRNA from 1 species
UACGGGGGGGGCGAAGCAGUUGUUCGGUGAAUUACUGGGGCGUAAAGGGCUCGUAGGCGGCCAACUAAGUCGGAUGUGAAAUCCCCAGCUUAACCUGGGAACUGCAUCCGAUACUGGAUGGCUUGAAUUCGGGGAGAGGGAUGCAGAAUUCCAGGUGUAGCGGUGAAAUGCGUAGAUAUGUGGAAGAACACCUGUGGCGAAAGCGGUUUUUCUAGCUUAAACCUGACGCUGAGGCACGAAAGCAAGGGGGAGCAAACAGG